GACGAACGCUGGCGGCGUGCCUAAUACAUGCAAGUUGAGCGCUGAAGGUUGGUACUUGUACCAACUGGAUGAGCAGCGAACGGGUGAGUAACGCGUGGGGAAUCUGCCUUUGAGCGGGGGACAACAUUUGGAAACGAAUGCUAAUACCGCAUAAAAACUUUAAACACAAGUUUUAAGUUUGAAAGAUGCAAUUGCAUCACUCAAAGAUGAUCCCGCGUUGUACUAGCUAGUUGGUGAGGUAAAGGCUCACCAAGGCGAUGAUACAUAGCCGACCUGAGAGGGUGAUCGGCCACAUUGGGACUGAGACACGGCCCAAACUCCUACGGGAGGCAGCAGUAGGGAAUCUUCGGCAAUGGACGAAAGUCUGACCGAGCAACGCCGCGUGAGUGAAGAAGGUUUUCGGAUCGUAAAACUCUGUUGGUAGAGAAGAACGUUGGUGAGAGUGGAAAGCUCAUCAAGUGACGGUAACUACCCAAAAAGGGACGGCUAACUACGUG
rnacentral:rRNA from 1 species